UACGUAGGGGGCAAGCGUUGUCCGGAAUCAUUGGGCGUAAAGAGCGUGUAGGCGGCCCGGUAAGUCCGCUGUGAAAGUCCAGGGCUCAACCCUGGAAUGCCGGUGGAAACUGUCGGGCUAGAGUCCGGAAGAGGCGAGUGGAAUUCCUGGUGUAGCGGUGAAAUGCGCAGAUAUCUGGAGGAACACCGGUGGCGAAGGCGGCAUCCUGGACCGAGAUUGACGCUGAGGCGCGAAAGCCAGGGGAGCAAACGGG
rnacentral:rRNA from 1 species